CAUGCAAGCACCUGGCCUCUAUCGGUAUCCACUCAAGCAAGACCUGGAACAUCUUCUCCUCACAAAUCUAUACUCCAAAAAUUAGAUCUCUAUCUGAUUUGAAAGUACUUCAAAACUCCUUCUGAAGUUGGAGCAGCAGCCUGUCGAAGAUGUCCUGCAGCCUUCCUGUUCCAGGCGUCACCAUGCCUUGGACCUUUGCCAGAUGGACGUCCAAUUCCUUGGACAUGAAGAGGGG
rnacentral:lncRNA from 1 species